rnacentral:lncRNA from 1 species
AUGUGGUCUCAGAGCCCUUGUGAGGUCAGGAAGCCAUCCACAUGGAGGGAGGGGUGGGGGGCAGCCCAGCUCAGUGGCUUGAAGCCCGAGGUGAGGAGAGCAUCCAUGUGGGUACAGCCUGGGCGGGUGUCCUGCAGGGUCAGAAGAUCUGCCAGAAAACAGGACUCCUGCUGGACUCGAGGAGGAACCCUAGACGAUGGGAUCCUGGAAUCCAGUCUGGCGUUGUGGCUCCUGCUGUCGCCAGCCAUUCCCUAUGCUCAAAACACAACCCCCACCCCCCUGCGCGAAAACGAAAAAACAAAGAAAUCAGGGCAAAGCCCUCUGUCAGAGGCCCACAGGGGUAAUCGUGCCCCCCACUCUGCUCUUCUCGCCAGAGGAGUGUGCGCUGCCGCUGUUUUGGUUCAGAGGGGCGAGCAUCGCUCUCGGCCAUCGCCUGUGGCUGGCACGCUCGCUCUUCCAAUAAACAGCCCAGCUGCUUUCCUUCCCAUUUG